AGCGAACGCUGGCGGCGUGCCUAACACAUGCAAGUCGAACGUGAAAGGGAGCAAUCCCAAGUAAAGUGGCGUACGGGUGAGUAACACGUAGGUAAUCUACCCCAGAAUCUGGAAUAACCGGCCGAAAGGCUGGCUAAUACUGGAUAGAGCGACGGAAUCCGUAAUUGGGUUUUUCGGGAAAGGGAGCCUGUAAAAAGGCCUUCGUUCUGGGAUGAGCCUGCGUCCCAUCAGCUAGUUGGUGAGGUAAAAGCUUACCAAGGCAAUGACGGGUAGCUGGUCUGAGAGGACGAUCAGCCAGACUGGAACUGAGACACGGUCCAGAGUCCUACAGGAGGCAGCAGUGGUGAAUCUUGCGCAAUGGGCGAAAGUCUGACGCAGCAGCGCCGCGUGAGUGAAGAAGGCCUUCGGGUUGUAAAGCUCUGUCGAGUGGGACGAAAAUGCUUGGAGUUCACAGCUCCAGGAACUGACGGUACCACUAAAGGAAGCACCGGCUAACUCCGUG
rnacentral:rRNA from 1 species